GGGCGUGUAGCUCAGCGGGAGAGCACUACGUUGACAUCGUAGGGGUCACAGGUUCAAUCCCUGUCACGCCCACCA
rnacentral:tRNA from 964 species